rnacentral:rRNA from 1 species
GACGAACGCUGGCGGCGUGCUUAACACAUGCAAGUCGAACGGAAAGGCCCUGCUUUUGUGGGGUGCUCGAGUGGCGAACGGGUGAGUAACACGUGAGUAACCUGCCCUUGACUUUGGGAUAACUUCAGGAAACUGGGGCUAAUACCGGAUAGGAGCUCCUGCUGCAUGGUGGGGGUUGGAAAGUUUCGGCGGUUGGGGAUGGACUCGCGGCUUAUCAGCUUGUUGGUGGGGUAGUGGCUUACCAAGGCUUUGACGGGUAGCCGGCCUGAGAGGGUGACCGGCCACAUUGGGACUGAGAUACGGCCCAGACUCCUACGGGAGGCAGCAGUGGAGAAUAUUGCACAGUGGGCGGAAGCCUGCUGCAGCAACGCCGCGUGCGGGAUGACGGCCUUCGGGUUGUAAACCGCUUUCGCCUGUGACGAAGCGUGAGUGACGGUAAUGGGUAAAGAAGCACCGGCUAACUACGUG